UUAUAUUGAUGCUCUAGGUUUUUUCGUUUCUAUAUUAGACUAAGAGCGAGACCCGCUCAUCCGGCUCAGCCUUUAGGGGAGCAUUGGUAUUUUAGGAUAAAUCAAAUAACUGUUUUGAUGACUUGUUCUCUCUCAUUUGGUUGGGUUGUUUAAAUUCUUUUUUGGUUGGAGUUUCGAUUUUGACUUUUGGUUUUGUUUUUUUUGCACUGCAAAUGCUUUUUUUUCUUCUUUUGUUUAUUUGUCUUUUUAUUUUUAUCUAUAUUUAUUUAGGAUUCCUUAUUAAAAAAAUUUAUCACAAAGAUAUUCUAAACUAGAGUAUCUUUUUAUCUUAUAAAAACCCAUAUAGUAGGCUAUUUU
rnacentral:lncRNA from 1 species